rnacentral:rRNA from 1 species
UACAGAGGCCUCGAGCGUUAAUCGGAAUCACUGGGCUUAAAGGGUGCGUAGGCGGCGCUGCAAGUGCCUUGUGAAAUCCCAUCGCUUAACGAUGGAACUGCUCGGUAGACUGCAGUGCUUGAGGUUGGUAGGGGCUGCCGGAACUCUAGGUGGAGCGGUGAAAUGCGUAGAUAUCGGGAGGAACACCAGUGGCGAAGGCGGUUGCCUGGAGCUUUGCUGACGCUGAGGCGCGAAAGCGUGGGGAGCGAUCCGG